CGGAGUGUAGCGCAGCCUGGUAGCGCAACUGCUUUGGGAGCAGUGGGUCGGGAGUUCGAAUCUCUCCACUCCGACCA
rnacentral:tRNA from 3 species